GCUGCGUCGGCCAUCCGGUUCGGUUUGGAUUUAUUAAUUUUGCUAGGGCUUCUGAUUUUAAAAUGUUCGGUUUGGGUGAAAUUGCUGUGGUAUAUAUGAGGAGCUCCUGCAUCGCCGCCAUAACUAAGGAUAACAUUUUGAUCUUUUUAUCGUCCAUGGAUCCUCUUGCUUUGCUUUGUAGUCUUUAUAUGUUUGUUCGAUUAGAUUAAGGUUUUUUGCCGUUUGUGUAGUGUUAUUGCUUGAAUUGAUUACAGUCUUUUCUGAGUUAGGAUUAGAUAACUUAUGGUGCAAAGAGAGAGGGAGAGCAAAUGAUGGGAUACACUUGAUCUCUGAACUUCACAGGUAAGUUCGCUUGUUGAUAACUACUGGUCUGCUGAUGCUCUCUUUCUCACACUCUCUGCUCCUGAUUGGGAUUUUUAUUAAUGAGAUUUGAUUAUGUAAGACGUUACUGUGAUUAAGUGUAGUAGAAUUUGAUGUGUAGUUUAAACAUUAGUAAUGAUUGAUUUUAUUAUAUAUGAAGUUAAUCAUAAUGCCUUGGAACAUGAUCUUUAGAAAAUGCAUCAAUAAUGUUUGGAUGAAAUGCUUAAUCCAUCUACCCCGCAAAGCUAAGGAUAAUGACCGGAUGGUUAGAUAGGAAAGGCGUUGGUCAUCAGAAGGUACAAGCACCUUUGUCUGCUCGUCAUCCUCAAUAGAGAAAAAGGAGGGCUUAAACUUGUAGAAGUCUUGGGACCAACAUUUGGCCGUCUCAAAAACUCCCCAACUGUCAGCUUCCAUGUCGUACACAUGAAGCUCAAUGUCACUAGAACGUAUCAUUUUCUCCCUCACCACUAGACACUUGCCGUCAUAUGCAACCACGUUCCAACAUUCAAGAUCUGAUUCCUCCAUUGAUACGUUCUUGAACUGGCUUGCGAGUGUCCACUUGUGAUACCCGAGUAGUGUGUAAACUGAGAUUGCUUUUUUCGUCCCUGAUAUCAAUGUCAGGAGAUUGGUCUCAUCGUUUGCUGCGAAAAGCACCUUCGUAUCCGGUGUUGGAUGGAAGCUACAAGGAAUCAGUCGUGCUUGCUCUGUCUCGGGAUUGAACGCUAUGAUGCUCCAGUCGUUUCUCAACCAGUGAAGAUUGCCAUCUACGUAAACAGGUUUCAUCCGCUUCUUGAGACCACUUUUGGAGCUGGUCGUGAGGGUCGUUUUCGAUAACCUCCAAGAAUCUCCGUCGCUGAUUUCAAAUCUGUACUUUGUUUCCAUCUCAAGUAUGCAGACGAUCUUGAAUAUCUUGGUGAUUCAACAUUGAUCUACCACGAAACCGACGCACAUCGCUCUCUCUGUACGAACAAGGGGACCAUCGGGGUCAUAAGGAUCAGCCUUUUCGACACCACCAACUAUGUGAGGCAGAAGCUUCGACCCAGAGUGAUCCACGAUUCGAAAUUUCUUUGUCAAGGGAUUUACGAUGAAGAAGUGACCAAUGUAUAGUAGGAGAAGGCCGGAGCAUGAGCCGAAAAUGUAACAUCGAUCGUUAAUGAACUCUGCUUUGUUUCCUAGUGACAUAUAAUCACAUGAAUAGACCAAAGGUUGGCAGAAGAUGAGAGAUUUGUUAGAGCUCCAAAUGUUAAUCAAAGUGGGUCUGACCCACGAAGGAUACUGAGGUCCAAAUCUUGGGUCAGUUAAAUACGAUUUGAAAGAUUUGUUUGUACAUCGUAUCAUUGCCAUAGCUUGGGGUUCUGAUCUGAAGAGAAUCAUGUCGAGAAGAUCCAAAGGUAAAUCAUCCAGGAGGAUCAUAGUUAUAUCAACGUGAGAACUUCCCCCUACGUCUGUUUUUGCUUGUCGUUGAUACGAAUAUAUUUGUUUGUUUCACUUGUUUACAGAUGAUGUUGUUAUAUAGAGAGGACAAAUUCUAACUUGAAAAAAAUAAAUAUGGAAUGAUCAAUGCAAGGAAAAUCUCACCAAUUUUAUUUAUUAAA
rnacentral:lncRNA from 1 species